rnacentral:rRNA from 1 species
UUGAACGCUGGCGGCAUGCUUUACACAUGCAAGUCGAACGGUAACAGGCCGCAAGGUGCUGACGAGUGGCGAACGGGUGAGUAAUGCAUCGGAACGUGCCCAGUCGUGGGGGAUAACUAAUCGAAAGAGUAGCUAAUACCGCAUACGAUCUAUGGAUGAAAGCGGGGGACCGUAAGGCCUCGCGCGAUUGGAGCGGCCGAUGUCAGAUUAGGUAGUUGGUGGGGUAAAGGCUCACCAAGCCAACGAUCUGUAGCUGGUCUGAGAGGACGACCAGCCACACUGGGACUGAGACACGGCCCAGACUCCUACGGGAGGCAGCAGUGGGGAAUUUUGGACAAAGGGCGCAAGCCUGAUCCAGCAAUGCCGCGUGCAGGAAGAAGGCCUUCGGGUUGUAAACUGCUUUUGUACGGAACGAAACGGCUCUGGUUAAUACCCGGGGCUAAUGACGGUACCGUAAGAAUAAGCACCGGCUAACUACGUG